GACACAUGUGCUGGAGAGGAGAGAUGGGAACAGAGAGACCUUGACUGAGCACUGCUAGAAGGUCACAGCAGGCCCAUCAGCCAGAGAUGCACGUCUUGUCCUUUUCUGAUGAGCUGCCUCCCGGAAACAAACAAAGCUGUCUGGCCAGCUCCACUGACUCAGCCCCAGGAGGAAGAUCCUCUAAGAGGCCCACAGUGAUGUAAUCUCACCCUUUGUCUCCACCAUGGCCAACUACUUGUUUGUUGUUAACACUGGUAACAAGGACUGAGUACGUGAUAGCUGACAAGGACCUCACUCCACAGUUAUAUGGAUGGCGUCACCAGCUUUGACAUCACGCAGCAAUGGAAAAGAUCCCAUUUUACAGCUGAGAAAAUGAAGCCUCCACAAUGGUACUUUAACACCUAUGGUCUCACACCAAGAAAAUAGAACAGUCUGGGUUUACAGCUGAGUUAUCUGACUCUCCCAGUCAUCGGGCUGCACUUCAAUCAAGUGGGAAAUUGCUGCCUUGAGAACUGGCUGAGAGGGAGACGGGCUUCACCGGGAAAGUGGGAAAGCAUCGAGUGGGUUUCCUUCCCACAAGGUUGCAUAUCAUCUCCCUGUUAGAGACUGAGGCAGAGAGCUCUCUGAUGGGCUGUGUACCUAUAGACAAGAUAAUAAAGAUACCUUCAUCAAAGA